AUAUAUGUGUGUGUAGUGGUUAGGAUUCCUGGCUUUUACCCAGGCAGCCCGGGUUCGAUUCCUGGCAUGGAAA
rnacentral:tRNA from 1 species